rnacentral:misc_RNA from 1 species
GACGGAGGGUGCAAGCGUUGUUCGGAAUCAUUGGGCGUAAAGGGUGCGCAGGCAGCCGUGCAAGUCUGGUGUGAAAGCCCGGGGCUCAACCCCGGAAAUGCAUCGGAAACUGUACGGCUUGAGUCCGGGAGGGGCCAGUGGAAUUCCUGGUGUAGGGGUGAAAUCCGUAGAUAUCAGGAGGAACACCGGCGGCGAAAGCGACUGGCUAGACCGGGACUGACGCUGAGGCACGAAAGCGCGGGUAGCGAACAGG